rnacentral:lncRNA from 1 species
CUUCCUGGCUUUCCUUCAGGGAGGUCAGGAAAGUCAGGGACCCGUGGAUAAAGACCAGGAGAACACAAUGAGCAGAAAAGCGUAGGCGAGCAGCUGGCAGCCACCAUCGCAUUUGCUCCCGGAAGGCAAGAGGAGGCAGAGAAAAUUCCAGAACCCAUUUAAGCGUCUGGGACCCUGAGGCUGAGAAGCCAGCCGGGAUGACCAGACAUCUGAGAGAUUCCUCUGAUGUGGAAGAGAGAGACAAAACAAACAGAAAAAGGACAACUGGAAGGAAACAGAGACUGUUCUGCGAGAAGACAGCUUGGAAAAAACUGUCAUUAAUAUAUUCAAGAAGGAAAGAUAAAAUUUUGUAUUUAUGAAAAAAGAACUAGGUGCCAUAAAGAAAGAACAUUUGGAGAAUAUAAAGAGCACUUGGAAAUUAAAAAUAGGAUCAUGGAAAUUGAAAACUCAGUAGAAGAGUUGGAAGAUAAGAUUGAGGAAAUUUUAUAGAAAUUAGAGCAAAAAGUUGAAAAUAAAGCCCUUGCAGUG